rnacentral:rRNA from 1 species
CCUACGGGUGGCAGCAGUGGGGAAUAUUGGACAAUGGGCGAAAGCCUGAUCCAGCCAUGCCGCGUGUGUGAAGAAGGCCUUCGGGUUGUAAAGCACUUUCAGUGGGGAAGAAAGCCUUGGGGCUAAUACCCUCGAGGAAGGACAUCACCCACAGAAGAAGCACCGGCUAACUCCGUGCCAGCAGCCGCGGUAAUACGGAGGGUGCGAGCGUUAAUCGGAAUUACUGGGCGUAAAGCGCGCGUAGGCGGUCUGAUAAGCCGGUUGUGAAAGCCCCGGGCUCAACCUGGGAAUGGCAUCCGGAACUGUCAGGCUAGAGUGCAGGAGAGGAAGGUAGAAUUCCCGGUGUAGCGGUGAAAUGCGUAGAGAUCGGGAGGAAUACCAGUGGCGAAGGCGGUCUUCUGGACUGACACUGACGCUGAGGUGCGAAAGCGUGGGUAGCAAACAGGAUUAGAUACCCUUGUAGUC